AGCGCACUAGCAUCCACACCGGCUUUCAAUCAAAGACUUGUGGUCAGUCUCUCCUGCGCUGUCAGAAACUGUAAAUGUAUCUGCCAUUUUCAGAUGACAUCUGUGACUAUGUAUGCAAGACCACAGUGAAAUCAGUUGCAAAAUGAAAAUUGGAAGUCUUCUAAAAGAUGUAGUCUGUGAAGCAAUGAGUCUGACCUUGGAGAAUUGAAUCAUGCACAAAGCCAUGACAGGCAGGAGGAAACAGUCAAUAACAGAGAAAGAAAACUGAGCAGACAGAUUUGGCAGACAUUAGAGACAGCAAGAACCAGAUGCUCAGGAUCAAACCUGGUUUUGCCUCUUCCUGAGCAAGUCGCUUAACUCUCUUUCCCUCCAUUUGCUCAUCUGUAAAAUGUACCUGCCUCAUGGAGUUGUUCUGAGGAUUAAAUGAGUUGAUGUAUGUGAAGCCCUGAGAAUAAUUCCUGCAAAUAGCGUGUGCUCAGUAAGUGUGACCAGGAGUCCCAGGAGUGAUCUGGGAGCAGGGUCACACGCAUUCACACCGCUGGUGCAGAUGAGGAGACAUGAUUGACAGUCCCACAGACUGGAAGUUUUGGAGGAGAGGUGUUUCACUGAAGGAAACUCUGGACGUCGGGCUGGCCGAAUCUCUAGAGGUCCACCAGCUGGGCUAAGUUGCCGGGGACAGCCAGGGCGAUUGUCAUAAGUCAUCCACUUACCAAGGGGACGAGGAGAAGGCUUGUAGCUCCUAGACUAUUGAACUCCAGGCAUCACCACAGCAGCCCUGGAAGGCUAGUCCCUGGUGAAACCAGUUUGGAAAGUUCUCCUCUUCUUCCCCCGAUAUUCCUGUUACAUUUCCUUAUGCGUGAUUUUCUCAGCCCUGCAGCGAUUCACACAAAGUUGUGAUAAACACUCCUUUCCCAUCUGUAAUGCUAACAAUUUGGAAUGUGUAAUCGUGCCUACACACGGUUGGCUCUCCGUCAUCGUUAGUAGAACAGUUUCAACCCGCUUCAGCCACAUUUGUCAAGUUCCUGCUAUUUGCGUAGCUCAUGCUUUUCUCCCUUAAUAAUUCUUCUUUGCAAGCCCCUCAGUUUCUUCCACCUUGUUGGUUAUGUUUUCCUAAUAGUCCCUCAAUUUUCCUGCCCCCACCUCAGACUCUACAGGAACCCAGCCCGGCUCUUGUUCCCCAUUGCGUGUCUGGCUGAAUAUGCACGUCCCAUUUCUUGGCUCCCCCCGAUCCCUUGGCUGUUGAAUUUUCUCUAGGGCCUGGUGAUGAGUAACUGCACCGAAGCCUCCGCCAAAGCAGUGCCAAGCCCUAAGGGAGGCCCCUGAGCUUCCAGUUACAGGUUCAAUCUGAGGAGAUGUUUCUCCAACCAUCUCCUGCCUUUCUCAAUUCCUUCCAGCCAUCCAUAAUCAUCCUCCCUGAAGACACAAAUCAAAUCAAAUCUGGUUAUGGAAUCUCUGAACUUGAAGCAGAGUAGUUGAAACACAGGUUGUAAAGCUUCCAUUUUGUGCAAAUUUCCAAUUUGAAGAGAAUAGGUAUGCAACCAUUUGUGGAAUUAAUCAAUGGAAUGUUAUUUCAUUAACAGGCAGGCCUGGUUAAUGCCGAUAUAUAGCAACAACCAUCGAGGGACCAGCAAAACGCAUGGAGGCUGAGAUGGGGAGGCAGGGUCAGCAACACUCUAAAGCUGGGUCCACAAACGCAGCACAAAUGGGAAGGAUGCGCUGGUGAUUUCUUGGUAGUUGUGUUGUGUGGUCAUGGAUAUUUUAACAAGACUAUUCGAAGCAUAAUUUUUAAUUUAAAACAUUAUGGGCAAGCAAACACUUCACAAUGGAAGAUAUACCAAAGGCCAAAAAGCACAGGAAAAAUAUGUUCACCAUUAGUCAUCAGGACAUGCAAAUAAAAACUACAAUGAGACGGGCCAGCCCAGUGGCACAGCGGUUAAGUGCACACAUUCCGUUUUGGCGGCCUGGGAUUCACCAGUUUGGAUCCCGGGUUCGGACACGGCACUGUGUGGUUAGCCAUGCUGUGGCAGCCAUCCCACAUAUAAAGUAGACGAAGAUGGGCAUGGAUGUUAGCUCAGGGCCAGUCUUCCUCAGAAAAACAAAAAGAGGAGGAUUGGCAGAUGUUAGCUCAAGGCUAAUCUUUCUUGGGG
rnacentral:lncRNA from 1 species